GAUGAACGCUGGCGGCGUGCCUAAUACAUGCAAGUCGAGCGAACAGACGAGGAGCUUGCUCCUUCGACGUUAGCGGCGGACGGGUGAGUAACACGUAGGUAACCUACCUAUAAGACUGGGAUAACUCCGGGAAACCGGAGCUAAUACCGGAUAAUAUUUCGAACCACAUGGUUCGAUAGUGAAAGAUGGCUUUGCUAUCACUUAUAGAUGGACCUGCGCCGGAUUAGCUAGUUGGUAAGGUAACGGCUUACCAAGGCAACGAUGCGUAGCCGACCUGAGAGGGUGAUCGGCCACACUGGAACUGAGAAACGGUCCAGACUCCGACGGGAGGCAGCAGUAGGGAAUCUUCCGCAAUGGGCGAAAGCCUGACGGAGCAACGCCGCGUGAGUGAUGAAGGUCUUCGGAUCGUAAAACUCUGUUAUUAGGGAAGAACAAACGUGUAAGUAACUGUGCACGUCUUGACGGUACCUAAUCAGAAAGCCACGGCUAACUACGUG
rnacentral:rRNA from 1 species